UACGUAGGGGGCAAGCGUUGUCCGGAAUCAUUGGGCGUAAAGAGCGCGUAGGCGGUCCGGUAAGUCCGCUCUGAAAGUCCGGGGCUCAACCCCGGGAGGCGGGCGGAUACUGUCCGGGCUAGAGUCCGGAAGAGGCGAGUGGAAUUCCUGGUGUAGCGGUGAAAUGCGCAGAUAUCAGGAGGAACACCGGUGGCGAAGGCGGGUCUCUGGGCCGUAACUGACGCUGAGGAGCGAAAGCAUGGGGAGCGAACAGG
rnacentral:rRNA from 1 species